rnacentral:rRNA from 1 species
GACAGAGGGUGCAAACGUUGUUCGGAUUUACUGGGCGUAAAGCGUGUGUAGGCGGCUUGGCAAGUUGGAUGUGAAAGCCCACGGCUCAACCGUGGAAGCGCACCCAAAACUGCUUCGCUCGAGUCUCGGAGAGGAAGGUGGAAUGCUUGGUGUAGAGGUGCAAUUCGUAGAUAUCAAGCAGAACACCUGCGGCGAAGGCGGCCUUCUGGACGAUGACUGACGCUGAGACGCGAAAGCGUGGGGAGCGAACAGG